GCUAUGAUGACUCUUACAGUGUUGAUCUUAAGAAAUGAUCAUUUUCUCUAAGAAGUUCUGAGCUU
rfam:Callipepla squamata strain Texas jcf7180005234791, whole genome shotgun sequence.